UUGUAACCCAUAGGUGAGUGUGUUCUUACCAUAACUAAGUAACCCAUAGGUGAGUGUGUUCUUACCAUAACUAAGUAACCCAUAGGUGAGUGUGUUCUAACUGUAACCCAUAGGUGAGUGUGUUCUUACCAUAACUAAGUAACCCGUAGGUGAGUGUGUUCUAACUGUAACCCAUAGGUGAGUGUGUUCUAACUGUAACCCAUAGGUGAGUGUGUUCUAA